rnacentral:lncRNA from 1 species
CUAGACUAUGAAUAAGGAGGAAAAGAUCGAAAGGGAUCGAAAUAUAACUAAAUAAAGAUAAUAAAUAUUACAUUAAAUGAGGAAGAGGAAGAAUGUAAAUAGGAUCAUAAAUGAGGUGAAAAUAGGGAAAAUUACAUAAAUAUUGCUAUUAAAUGAAAAUAAAUACAAAAAGCAAAAUAAGAGAAGAAAAUGGUGCUUUAAGACGGGCUCCCAAGCCUAGUGCUCAGAGUUGGCAUCGAUUCAGAUCAAUUAGUUCUACAGUGAAUCCCGAGUUUUCAGUUUUUAAUUGGGCAAAUAGAAAUAAGAGGAAGAGGGUCCUGAAAGUCUGAUUAUUCAAACCCCCUUUGGUCUGAUAGGGUAGCUCGAAAGGGUUAGUAGCUUGGUUUUGGAUUGAGGGGUUUACGAAGAAUGAGGUUUGCUCAAAUGGGUUCACCUUGGGGCUUUUUCUUAACCACAAGCUUGAGCUUAAGAUCAAGAAUUUUGAAUAUAUACUACUCUCAUGAUCAAAAACACUUGGGGAAACAAGAAAUUACCAAUGUGAUAUCCCCCCCCCAAGAGAGCACUUUGGUCUUCCACAAUUCUAAUUUAAUCUGAAAUCUCUUCAGUACUGCAUCCCAAACCGCCUUUGACAACCUAGAGUUAGAGAUGGGCAUGCCAAGAUAGGUAAUUGGGAACCUAUCAACCUUACUUGCCAAGAUACGUAAUUGGGAACCUAUCAACCUUACUCUGCAAUUAACCCCAAUGAUAGAUGUCUUUUUAAAAUUAACCUUCAAGCCCAAAUCACCUCACAGCAAAGAAGGAAUUUGUUAGAUAUGAAAUUUCCUAACCAUUAGCACCACAGAAUAUUAAGGUGUCAUUUGUGUAUUGCAAAUGGGAAAUAAGAAGACCAAA